rnacentral:rRNA from 1 species
AGUGAACGCUGGCGGUAGGCCUAACACAUGCAAGUCGAACGGCAGCACAGUAAGAGCUUGCUCUUACGGGUGGCGAGUGGCGGACGGGUGAGGAAUACAUCGGAAUCUACUUUUUCGUGGGGGAUAACGUAGGGAAACUUACGCUAAUACCGCAUACGACCUACGGGUGAAAGCAGGGGAUCUUCGGACCUUGCGCGAUUGAAUGAGCCGAUGUCGGAUUAGCUAGUUGGCGGGGUAAAGGCCCACCAAGGCGACGAUCCGUAGCUGGUCUGAGAGGAUGAUCAGCCACACUGGAACUGAGACACGGUCCAGGCUCCUACGGGGGGCAGCAGUGGGGAAUAUUGGACAAUGGGCGCAAGCCUGAUCCAGCCAUACCGCGUGGGUGAAGAAGGCCUUCGGGUUGUAAAGCCCUUUUGUUGGGAAAGAAAAGCAGCAGGUUAAUACCCCGCUGUUCUGACGGUACCCAAAGAAUAAGCACCGGCUAACUUCGUG